rnacentral:rRNA from 1 species
AUUGAACGCUGGCGGCAGGCUUAACACAUGCAAGUCGAGCGGGGGAAGGUAGCUUGCUACCGGACCUAGCGGCGGACGGGUGAGUAAUGCUUAGGAAUCUGCCUAUUAGUGGGGGACAACAUCUCGAAAGGGAUGCUAAUACCGCAUACGUCCUACAGGAGAAAGCAGGGGAUCUUCGGACCUUGCGCUAAUAGAUGAGCCUAAGUCGGAUUAGCUAGUUGGUGGGGUAAAGGCCUACCAAGGCGACGAUCUGUAGCGGGUCUGAGAGGAUGAUCCGCCACACUGGGACUGAGACACGGCCCAGACUCCUACGGGAGGCAGCAGUGGGGAAUAUUGGACAAUGGGGGGAACCCUGAUCCAGCCAUGCCGCGUGUGUGAAGAAGGCCUUAUGGUUGUAAAGCACUUUAAGCGAGGAGGAGGCUACUUUAGUUAAUACCUAGAGAUAGUGGACGUUACUCGCAGAAUAAGCACCGGCUAACUCUGUGCCAGCAGCCGCGGUAAUACAGAGGGUGCGAGCGUUAAUCGGAUUUACUGGGCGUAAAGCGUGCGUAGGCGGCUUAUUAAGUCGGAUGUGAAAUCCCCGAGCUUAACUUGGGAAUUGCAUUCGAUACUGGUGAGCUAGAGUAUGGGAGAGGAUGGUAGAAUUCCAGGUGUAGCGGUGAAAUGCGUAGAGAUCUGGAGGAAUACCGAUGGCGAAGGCAGCCAUCUGGCCUAAUACUGACGCUGAGGUACGAAAGCAUGGGGAGCAAACAGGAUUAGAUACCCUGGUAGUCCAUGCCGUAAACGAUGUCUACUAGCCGUUGGGGCCUU